AAAAAGAAAGUAUAUAUAUAACAAGGGAGUCCGGCUAUUAUACUCUUAUAAGUAUAAUCUCUUUUAUACUCAUAAAUUUUUGGUCGUUAGAUCUACUCAUUUAAUUAUUUCCACCUGUUAGAUCAUACUAUUCAACCAACUACCUACUCAACCCUAGGAGAUCACUAUUAAUCUAACUGGGGACCACUAUCAUUCUAACCACACAUUUUUUCAUCCAAUAGUCGAAAAUUUAUAAGUAUAAAAGGGGGUAUACUCAUAAAAGUAUGGUAGCCCUAGCCUAUAACAAUGUCACAUAAAAUAAG
rnacentral:lncRNA from 1 species